CCACGCGGCUCUGAGCGGGACGAAGCUCAGGCCUCGCCGGAGACGCGCUCGGCUCUGCACCCCUUUGUGGUGAGGAGAAAUCCUGGGACGAGAAGCAGCCUGACUCCUGCAUGAAGAGGAUGCCUAUCAGCAGUGAUCGUCAGCCCUUCUGCACUGAAUGAGGCAUCCAGAUCAAUCUCUGAACCCGAGGAUCAUUCGCUGAGCUAAUUUUCCUUGCAAGCUGCCCUGGUGACCCUGCCAGGAAGAAGCGAAGGGGUGGAGGCACCAUCAAAUAAAUUUAUAUGGGAAGAAAUUAAGGAAGUUGCACCCUGAUGAGAAGGAGGCAGGAUGCAGAAGAACCCAGGCCUGUCCAUCAAAACCCAUAAGGAGAUGGUGCUA